CCCAAAUCUAGACAAACCCUAGCUGCCUCCGCUACUCCUUUUUUCAAUUCCGCGGCUCUUCGCAAAUCAUUUCAAUCUCUCUCCGUCUCUUCUCGCUCUCCUCGCAGCUUAGUCGUCAAGGCUGUAAGUCAUACUAUUUAUGUGUAAUUAAUUUACUUAAUUGAGGCGAUUAUGUUUAAUUUAGUGUUGGUUUUGUGUUUGUUCAGAGUGAGCUUCUCCUGGUUGGACAUGUGGCUUCGGAUUUCGAAGCUGAAGCUGUUUUCGAUCAGGAAUUUAUCAACGU
rnacentral:lncRNA from 1 species